CACUCGGCACUGGGCGGCGCUGGCUGGCUCCCUGGCUGCGGCUCCUCAGUCGGCGGCGGCUGCUGCUGCCUGUGGCCCGGGCGGCUGGGAGAAGCGGAGUGUUGGUGAGUGACGCGGCGGAGGUGUAGUUUGACGCGGUGUGUUACGUGGGGGAGAGAAUAAAACUCCAGCGAGAUCCGGGCCGCGAACGAAAGCAGUGACGGAGGAGCUUGUACCACCGGUAACUAAAUGACCAUGGAAUCUGGAGCAGAGAACCAGCAGAGUGGAGAUGCGGCUGUAACAGAAGCUGAAAACCAACAAAUGACAGUUCAAGCCCAGCCACAGAUUGCCACAUUAGCCCAGGUAUCUAUGCCAGCAGCUCAUGCAACAUCAUCUGCUCCCACCGUAACUUUAGUACAGCUGCCCAAUGGGCAGACAGUUCAAGUCCAUGGCGUUAUUCAGGCGGCCCAGCCAUCAGUUAUUCAGUCUCCACAAGUCCAGACAGUUCAGUCUUCCUGUAAGGACUUAAAAAGACUUUUCUCCGGAACUCAGAUUUCAACUAUUGCAGAAAGUGAAGAUUCACAGGAGUCAGUGGAUAGUGUAACUGAUUCCCAAAAACGAAGAGAAAUUCUUUCAAGGAGGCCUUCCUACAGGAAAAUUUUGAAUGACUUGUCUUCAGAUGCACCAGGAGUGCCAAGGAUUGAAGAAGAGAAGUCUGAAGAGGAGACCUCAGCACCUGCCAUCACCACCGUAACGGUGCCAACUCCGAUUUACCAAACGAGCAGCGGACAGUACAUUGCCAUUACCCAGGGAGGAGCAAUACAGCUGGCUAACAAUGGUACCGAUGGGGUACAGGGCCUGCAAACAUUAACCAUGACCAAUGCAGCUGCCACUCAGCCGGGCACUACCAUUCUACAGUACGCACAGACCACUGACGGACAGCAGAUCUUAGUGCCCAGCAACCAAGUUGUUGUUCAAGCUGCCUCUGGAGAUGUACAGACAUACCAGAUUCGCACAGCACCCACUAGCACCAUUGCCCCCGGAGUUGUUAUGGCAUCCUCCCCAGCACUUCCUACACAGCCUGCUGAAGAAGCAGCACGAAAGAGAGAGGUUCGCCUCAUGAAGAACAGGGAAGCAGCACGAGAGUGUCGUAGAAAGAAGAAAGAAUAUGUGAAAUGUUUAGAAAACAGAGUGGCAGUGCUUGAAAACCAAAAUAAGACUCUCAUUGAGGAGCUAAAAGCACUUAAGGACCUUUACUGCCACAAAUCAGAUUAAUUUGGGAUUUAAAUUUCACCUGUCAUGGUGGAAAAGGACUGGCUUGGCCUCAAGCAGAAAGACAAAAUAAACAUUUUAUUUUCUAAACAUUUCUUUUUUUCUAUGCGCAAAACUGCCUGAAAGCAACUACAGAAUUUCAUUCAUUUGUGCUUUUGCAUUAAACUGUGAAUGUUCCAACACCUGCCUCCACGUCUCCCCUCAAGAAAUUUUCAGCACCAGGAAUCAUGAAGAGACUUCUGCUUUUCAUCCCCCACCCUCUUCAAGAAGUAAUAAUUUGUUUACUUGUAAAUUGAUGGGGGAAAUGAGGAAAAGAAAAUCUUUUUUUAAAUGAUUUCAAGGUUUGUGCUGAGCUCCUUGAUUGCCUUAGGGACAGAAUUGCCCCAGCCUCUUGAGCUGAAGUAAUGUGUGGGCCGCAUGCAUAAAGAUGAACAGAGUUUAUGAAGGAGCAUCAUUCUAAGAAUUGAGUGAUGUAGUCUUAUAUUUGGACAAUUCACCAGAUUCUCAAGAAGGCUUUCAAACGACUGUAAAGUUUGAUGUUUAUCCUGCUGAGCUAAUGGGGAAAGUUGUAGCAUAAAAAUUAUUUGUAUACCAGCAUAGAUGUGUCAUUUUCCAAAACUUCAGCAGAAACCAAGCAAAGUGACAAAUCUUUUCACAAACUAGAAUUCUUUCUUAAUGAGUCAAAAUGUUUCGAAUGUCAUAAACUUUAUAAAUGAAAAUUGCCUAGUAUUUAGCAAGUUGUAUUCUCCAAAGUAAAAUGUUUCCAAAAGUCGAGGCAUUCUGUUUAGUUAGAAAAGUUGGUGGUCCUCUUAGUCCCUGAUGAAUCAAGGCAGUCACAUCCAUAUUAGCUGGUUGAAUUUGUAAGUUUUUACAAACACCGGGUCCUUUGUACCUUGAGGAUGAUUGCACUGGUUUGAAGUCAGUUACUUAAUGGUGAGGUAAGAAAUCUAUUCUGUUGCUAAAUCUGUUCUAGACCCAUAAAGAGACUUGAAAAUUUCAGUUUAUACAGAUAGAAAUUAAGCAUCUUUUGUGCAGACUUUUUUUUUUUUUAACAAGAAUUGGAAAAAAGGUGUUUGUUUUUAAGCAUGCAACUUUGAGAAUCUUUAUUAAGGAAAUGACAUAAUUUAAAAAAAAAAUCUUGUAGCCAAGAACAUAUAUGGCCACAUUACCAGUAAUAAAUGUUUUUUUCUCUUCAUAUUGGCCAAAAGGGAAUGAAAAUGUCAUCAUAGGAAUCUGUACAUAUGCUACUGAUUUGCCUAGAAAAUAGCAAGUUUGGUAUCGCUUACUUUGCAAAUAUAGGGCCAUGUGGCACUUUUAUCUAUAGGACAGAUUAACUCUAAUAAAAAUGAAGUGGGAGGGGUUUAUUUUUGAUAUAUUACUCUUACGAGUUUUCAAACUUUGAUAGUGUUUAGCUGAAAAGUGGUUUAGAAAGGGCUAGAUCCAAUGUGUCCACCCUAUUAAAAAAUUGAUAUCAGAUCUAAUUUUAAUUUCAUUCUUUUCAAACUCAAGUACCAUAUUGGCAACCAUCAUAUUGUCAUAGGUGCUCUGUUCGUUUAGAUAUUAUUGGGGGGGAAAUGGCAUUUGUAUAAUAUAUGUGUACAUAUAUAUAAAUACAUACAGUAUAUAAUCUGAAGCUCUGAGAGCUCCUAAGUCAGGAAUGCUGAGUAUUAUAGUAUAUUGAGGUCAGAUGAAAUUUUACAUCUUUGCGUGUUCUGUUGCAUCCCAUUUGGUAGUUUCUUGGACUGCAUUACUCCAGCACUCAUGAUUGAUUUUUGUCUUCUAAUUUUCUUCCAAGUAUUUUAUUUUUACUGUUCGUUUUCUUUGGCUUGAUACUUUUAUGUAUGUUACUAGUCACUUGAAAACUCCCCCGCCCCCAAAGUAUUUGGUUUUUAUGCUUUGUCUCUGGCAGCUAUAACAGUGGUAAGAACAUUUUGCAGAUAGCUUCUAAAAGGUACCACUGAUUUUUCAAAACUCAUCCUGGGGGAGGAAUUUGGGUGUUUUCAUUUGAGCAGGGAUUUUUUUCAGAAAAAUGUGUUUUGAUGGUAGGUCAGCAGCAGUGCUAGAAUCUGAAAGCACAAUACCAGUCAGGCAGGCUGUCCGAUCAGAAGUCAUCUGGCUGAAGUUUAUCUCUGUCUCUCAGGCCUAAUCCCUACUAUCAUUUUGACCACUUGGGGUGACAUGUGGAAUCAUACAAAGGCUUAGGAAGAAACAACCAGUGUGUUUAAACCAGGAUGCUUUUACUUACUUGAAGUGACUUCAAUCUAGAUUUCUUCUUUACAUUUUAAAAAUGUUUUUAAUUUUGUGAUCAGCAACAGUCAAUUUAUUAGCAUAAAUUGGUCUCUUUAUUUCGAAGAUCAAAAAGUCCGCUUCAUUUUGCAGGAUUAAAUAAGGCGAAUAUAAAGUUAUGAUUUUUGAAUUAAAGUGGGUUUUUAGAACAGUCAUUACACACCUUUUCAGUUAUUUGUAAGAGGCUUCAUUUUGUUGCCUUGUUGGCUCUGAAAACUUUUGGUAUGCUGUUUCCCGUUGACCUGAUACAAAAGUUGUAUAUUUAUUUGGAUUAUAUUUACAUUAUAUUCUUUGUAAAUGUUUGGUGUAACUUGCACUUUUAAAAAAUGACCCUGUUGGGUGUUAGCAACUUGAGAAAAGUUCCCUCAUCAAUUGAUUGUCAACUGGCUUUUUAUGUCAUUUUCCUCUCUUCAAAUCAUGUGACUUUUUUAAAUGGAAAAUUUCAUUAAAAUAUUUUAGCACCUAAAGGCUAGCCUUAUAAAUAGCUGUGAAAGAAAAGUAACAGGAAAUUAGAUUUGACUAGCCCAGUUAAUUAAAAGAUGAGUUUGAACCCAAUGGGAUUCUUUUACAUCAUGGAUAAAGAUAGAAGGAAAAGCAACUGGAGUAAAUUGAUACUUAUUUUCAAUUUUAAAUGAGACUGUAUUCCCAUGCCAACAUUAGUGUUGUCUGUAGGGUGCCAAGAUAUCCAUCAAUUUAUCUAGAACAGUAAAAUAGUUUUCAAGGCAGUUAAUUACCAUCAUCAUGGAGACCACAUGGAAUGAUUUGACUGAGGUUUUUUCACUUAAAAUUGGCUUUGUUACCAUCAAACACCUAAAUCGGACUGAGGUCUGGUGAGAAGGGAAAGCGCAACGCGCUUUGGUAAGCUGCCUGGAGGUGAAGAGUUGAGGGAUACAUUUGCUCACUCUGUUGUACAAAGCACAACUAGAACUUUUGUUGGAUGGUUUGCCUACAUCUUGAAUACUUUUAAUGUUGAUACGUUGACUUUUUUUAAGUUGACUGCACAGUCACUGUAUGUACUAGGAACUGGUUUCCUUGACUUUCUCGAAUCAAUGGCUAGGAGAGGCACUAAUCCCUGAGGGGUUGAACAUAUCAUGAAGCUGAGUCAGUAUGGAAGAAUUUCAAAUAAAUCAAACAGGGUGCUGAAGUUCCAUCUGUCUCAUAUGCUUCUGAUAAGUUCGUACUGAUUAGUGAAUGUAGCUUAAGCCUUUGUAUGUGUCCUCAGGGGGGCAAACUUUAAGAGGGACCAGAUAACGUUUGAGUGGAGGGAUUAUAUUUCAGGUGUUUUAGCUUGAAAUUUAUUUUUUAAAAAAAUAAAAAUAGAAAAAAAAAAAUAGAACAAAGCCUGUGAAGAUGAUAUAAACAGGCAGAGUUGUUUUAGCACAGAGAGAAAAUAUUGACCUGUCUGCAUUCUGGUACUGUGGGUGCAGGUCCUAGCUGGGUAUAUAACCUGAUACAUUUUUAAUUAUUCUCACCAGCAAGUAAAAGGAAAAUGAACAAUCUUUGGGAAAUGUCUUUGAAAAGGGGCAAAUGGUAGGAAAAUCAGAUUUUACCUCCUUUAUACAGGCAUUAUGUGAUACUUGCCUACAGAAGUAUGGGCGUUUCCAAGCUUCCGAGGAGCAUCUCAGAAAUGUAAGAGUCAAUCUGAGAUAGUUGAAAAAUUGGUAGGGAAGGAAGAAAAUCCCUGCAAAUAGUAAUCUUAUGUUAGUUGGCCAAGUGAAAUGAUCUAUCUUUGUGUUUGGGAGGUUUUAUUUUCUUACGUUUUUAAAAUUAAAUUGGUAAAUGCUUUAUAGACAUAUUUUUAUCCAGGUGCCACUCCAAUUUGUGUAUGUAAUAAAAAUUAUUUAUAUUAAAAGUGGGAAAUAAUUUGUCACCAUUGUUCUGUGAGUAUGGAUUUAUGGAGGGGUGGCAAAGAGGAGUGCUAGUUAGCAGUUUUCCAUGUAGAGUCGUCCCCAACUGAUUUGUCCACAUGUCACUUGUCCUCCCCACCCAAAAAAGGAAUUAUUUCUAACCUAGAUGUAUCACUUGAGACUUUUUAGAAACAAAAUAAUCAGGGAAGUUUCUAGAGAGAAAGAUGGUGUUUGUUUUUGUUUUAAUUUUUCCUUGAGGAUUGGGGUAAAGAAUACCUCCCCCCAAAACUAUCAGCACAAAACAGGGUAUCGAUUUUUAACUCUGAUGUUACUAUUGGAGUUGAAUAUUAAGUAAAUAUAAUGAGGGAAAUACAUUUCUAAUAAAAUUCCCUACAUUCUAGAAACAUCCCUGUUUUAAUUUUUUUACCUAAAUCUUUUUGUGCUCUAUCUGUGUAAAGAGAGAAAAUGUACUGAGUUAUAAUGCAUUUUAUUAACACUAUGUACAUAGUAGCUGCUUUGUGUUCAGAAUGGUAGCAAUUGCUUUGUAUAUUAAAGUGAUCCUUGUGAAUUUGUGAAAUAUUGUCAGAAAGUGCUUUUUCUUACUGUAAUCUUUGUGGUAUCAACUGUCCUAAUGCCCUUUUUACACACAUUUAUGUGCAGUCACAUAAACAUGCUUUUAAAAACUC